rnacentral:rRNA from 1 species
ACAAGCAGUGGGAGCACCUUCGGGUGUGACUGCGUACCUUUUGUAUAAUGGGUCAGCGACUUAUAUUCUGUAGCAAGGUUAACCGUAUAGGGGAGCCGCAGGGAAACCGAGUCUUAACUGGGCGUUAAGUUGCAGGGUAUAGACCCGAAACCCGGUGAUCUAGCCAUGGGCAGGUUGAAGGUUGGGUAACACUAACUGGAGGACCGAACCGACUAAUGUUGAAAAAUUAGCGGAUGACUUGUGGCUGGGGGUGAAAGGCCAAUCAAACCGGGAGAUAGCUGGUUCUCCCCGAAAGCUAUUUAGGUAGCGCCUCGUGAA